rnacentral:rRNA from 2 species
GACGUAGGGAGCGAGCGUUGUCCGGAUUUAUUGGGCGUAAAGGGCCAGUAGGCGGCUUGGCAAGUCAGGUGUGAAACCUCCAGGCUCAACCUGGAGACGCCACUUGAUACUGCUAUGGCUAGAGUCCGGUAGGGGAGCAUGGAAUACCCGGUGUAGCGGUGAAAUGCGCAGAUAUCGGGUGGAACACCAGUGGCGAAGGCGGUGCUCUGGGCCGGAACUGACGCUGAAUGGCGAAAGCGUGGGUAGCAAACAGG